UACGGGGGGGGCAAGCGUUGUUCGGAAUUACUGGGCGUAAAGGGCUCGUAGGUGGCCAACUAAGUCAUACGUGAAAUCCCUCGGCUUAACCGGGGAACUGCGUCCGAUACUGGAUGGCUUGAGUAUGGGAGAGGGAUGCGGAAUUCCAGGUGUAGCGGUGAAAUGCGUAGAUAUCUGGAGGAACACCGGUGGCGAAGGCGGCAUCCUGGACCAUUACUGACGCUGAGGAGCGAAAGCCAGGGGAGCAAACGGG
rnacentral:rRNA from 1 species